rnacentral:rRNA from 1 species
AGGGUUUGAUCCUGGCUCAGAAUGAACGUUGGCGGCGUGGAUUAGGCAUGCAAGUCGAGCGAGAAUUUUAUUGUUGAAGCUUCGGCCGAUUCAAUAGAAGGAAAGCGGCAAACGGCGUAGUAAUGCGUAGGUACGUACCCUCAGGUUGGGAAUAGCCACGGGAAACUGUGGGUAAUGCCCAAUAAUAUCUGCGGAUCAAAGGUGUGAUUCCGCCUGAGGAGCGGCUUACGUGAUAUUAGCUUGUUGGUGGGGUAAUGGCCUACCAAGGCAACGAUGUCUAGGGGGUGUGAGAGCAUGGCCCCCACGACCGGAACUGAGACACUGUCCGGACACCUACGGGUGGCUGCAGUCGAGAAUCUUCCGCAAUGGGCGAAAGCCUGACGGAGCGACGCCGCGUGCGGGAUGAAGGCCCUUGGGUUGUAAACCGCUGUCAGAGGGGAUGAAAUCAUGGUUGGCUAUCCUUCCAUGUUGACAGAGCCUCAAAGGAAGCACGGGCUAAGUACGUGCCAGCAGCCGCGGUAACACGUACUGUGCGAACGUUAUUCGGAAUCACUGGGCUUAAAGGGUACGUAGGCGGUUUAUCAAGUCAGGUGUGAAAUGCCUGAGCUCAACUGAGGCACUGCGCUUGAAACUGAUAAACUAGAGUAUUCCAGGGGUGUGCGGAACUGCCAGUGGAGCGGUGAAAUGCGUUGAUAUUGGCAGGAACACC